ACUCUUUCAGAUAAGGUCGUGUGCUUUCAACUGUAGAAAUUUGCCACGAGAAACAACGGCUUUUGAGCUCCAGUUUAAAAAAAAAAAUUUUGUUAAUCCCUCCAGCAAAUCAAACUUCACAAUCAUUAAAAGCUUUUUUCACAACGUGAUCAGGGCAACACCGGAUGGAAAACUUUGUGGCUGGUAUCAAAUGACUCAAGGAAAAACAAGCUGACAUCAGGCCCCAGCUACAGAUCACCGCUUUAACAUGUCAAUCUCAAUCUCAGUUAGGAUUUUCCUUUUCCAUGCUGGCAGAGCCUUCUCCAACAAACUGUGGGUUUUGUGCUCCAUCAUUUACUUCUAUGAAUUAUCUAUGUGGUCAUUAAAGAAUUGGUGUGCGUGCAUAAGAUCCAAUGAACGAUUAAUUGCUGUUCAUUUGCUAAUGAACUAGUUACAACAUCCAACAAAAUAAUCAAAACAAAUAGGUUAGAAACGAGGAACUGCAGAUGCUGGUUUACCAAGGA